rnacentral:rRNA from 1 species
CAGUAGCCGCGGUAACACGUAGGUGGCAAGCGUUGUCCGGAAUUAUUGGGCGUAAAGGGCUCGCAGGCGGUUUCUUAAGUCUGAUGUGAAAGCCCCCGGCUCAACCGGGGAGGGUCAUUGGAAACUGGGAAACUUGAGUGCAGAAGAGGAGAGUGGAAUUCCACGUGUAGCGGUGAAAUGCGUAGAGGUGUGGAGGAACACCAGUGGCGAAGGCGACUCUCUGGUCUGUAACUGACGCUGAGGAGCGAAAGCGUGGGGAGCGAACAGGAUUAGAUACCCCCGUAGUCCCUGUCUCUUAUAC